rnacentral:SRP_RNA from 1 species
GUUAGCCCCCCUGAUGACGAAACCCGGUGAACCCGGUCAGGUCCGGAAGGAAGCAGCCGUAGCUGGUAGUUUGGGUGUUAGGGUCAGGUUUUCCGU